GCGGGACUUUCCCCCACUGCACUGGCGGAGGGGUCUAUUAUGCGUUUACCUCUGCUCCAUAAACCUCUGAUUCCAGUUCGUCACCUCACCGUCUACAUUCUUCCCGCUCAGCUGUUCCUGGGUCAGAAGCACGAGGAGCCGAGCGUCCCGUCCACCGUGUCCCGCGAGGACCUGGAGGCGGUGGUGGGCGUGAUGGAGCGGGACCGCCAGAGGGCCUCCUUGAGGAAGCUCUCCGCCAGGAGGGGGUCCCAGGGCCCGGGGGGUAACCCGGCGGGGCCCGCGGGGGAGCCCGCGUACGACGCCCGCGCCCACGGCUUCCUGAGCUUUGGCGAGCAGGCCACCAGCUCCACCUCCUCCUCCUCCCCCUCCUUCCUGCUGAGCGGCGAGACCUCCCUGAGCUCCGUCUCCGGGACGGGGGAGGACCUCCUGGAGAGGAGCUGGGGGGACCUGGACAAAGACCUGGGGCUGAUCCGCAUGUGGUACCGGCUGGAUGAGAACCGCCUGCCCCCGCUGUACCGCCUGCUCCCCAUCAGCACCCACCACCCAGACAUCCUGAGCCAGGACGGGCAGCGCAGGCGGCAGGCGGUGAAGGACUGGGCCGCCACCCGCCAGCGGCUUUGGUGGGUGCUGCAGCGGGGGGGAACAGUUGCCCUGGGCGAGGAGGGGGCCGCAGCACUGCUCAAGACGGUCCUGACCUGGGAGACGGAGGAGGGUCUGCGUUCCCUCGGAGACGGCUGCCCGCCAGAGCAGCACUGCCACUGCUACAAGAGGCUGAUCCCAGACCUGUACUACAACCUGAAGAACGAGCACGCCGCGCGCUACGUGGACCUGAUGAAGGGACGGCCGCAGGUCAACACGGCGCUGGCCGCAGCGCAUCAGAGGUUCAUGGGCCG
rnacentral:lncRNA from 1 species